rnacentral:rRNA from 1 species
CCUACGGGGGGCAGCAGUGAGGAAUAUUGGUCAAUGGCCGAGAGUCUGAACCAGCCAAGUCGCGUGAGGGAUGAAUGUCCUAUGGAUUGUAAACCUCUUUUGUCAGGGAGUAAAGUCACCCACGUGUGGGUUUUGGAGAGUACCUUAAGAAUAAGCAUCGGCUAACUCCGUGCCAGCAGCCGCGGUAAUACGGAGGAUGCGAGCGUUAUCCGGAUUUAUUGGGUUUAAAGGGUGCGUAGGCGGGUUAUCAAGUCAGAGGUAAAAUCGUGGAGCUCAACUCCAUCCAGCCGUUGAAACUGAGGAUCUUGAGUGGGCGAGAAGUAUGCGGAAUGCGUGGUGUAGCGGUGAAAUGCAUAGAUAUCACGAAGAACUCCGAUUGCGAAGGCAGCAUACCGGCGCCCGACUGACGCUGAAGCACGAAAGCGUGGGUAUCGAACAGGAUUAGAUACCCUAGUAGUC